GAUGAACGCUAGCGACAGGCUUAACACAUGCAAGUCGAGGGGCAUCAUGAGGUAGCAAUACCUUGAUGGCGACCGGCGCACGGGUGAGUAACGCGUAUGCAACCUGCCCGAUACCGGGGUAUAGCCCAUGGAAACGUGGAUUAACACCCCAUAGUACUUUUAUCCUGCCUGGGAUGGGAGUUAAAUGUUCAAGGUAUCGGAUGGGCAUGCGUCCUAUUAGUUAGUUGGCGGGGUAACAGCCCACCAGGACGAUAAUAGGUAGGGGUUCUGAGAGGAAGGUCCCCCACAUUGGAACUGAGACACGGUCCAAACUCCUACGGGAGGCAGCAGUGAGGAAUAUUGGUCAAUGGACGUGAGUUUGAACCAGCCAAGUCGCGUGAGGGAAGACUGCCCUAUGGGUUGUAAACCUCUUUUAUAAGGGAAGAAUAAGUUCUACGUGUAGAAUGAUGCCUGUACCUUAUGAAUAAGCAUCGGCUAACUCCGUGCCAGCCGCCGCGGUAA
rnacentral:rRNA from 1 species